rnacentral:rRNA from 1 species
UACGAAGGGGGCUAGCGGUGCUCGGAAUCACUGGGCGUAAAGGGCGCGUAGGCGGAUCUUUAAGUCGGGGGUGAAAGCCCAGGGCUCAACCCUGGAAUUGCCUUCGAUACUGAAGAUCUCGAGACCGGAAGAGGUAAGUGGAACUGCGAGUGUAGAGGUGAAAUUCGUAGAUAUUCGCAAGAACACCAGUGGCGAAGGCGGCUUACUGGUCCGGUUCUGACGCUGAGGCGCGAAAGCGUGGGGAGCAAACAGG